CUGGAAAGGAUGAAUGACGUGACUGAAGCUAAUCUUGUUUGAAAAAGACACCUUCUUAAAGUUUCCUCUCACUUUAUAUUUUGCCACAAGUAGGGGAUACAAGUUGGGCAAUCUACAUGGAUCCUUUCUCCUGAGAAGCAAGAACAUGAGAGAAUUGAAUACCAAUUUGCCCAGUUAAAUGAUUAAAAGAGUGGAAAAAGAAACCAUGAAGAAGUCCUCAGCAGGGGCACAGCUACUAGAAGGCAAGAAUAGAAGACCUUCCUCAGAGCCACCUGCCGACCUGAGCACCUUCAGUGCCCGCCGUGAUGUUGAAAACGCUACCAAGAAGUCUGGAUGGUGGGUAGCUUUGUCG
rnacentral:lncRNA from 1 species